rnacentral:rRNA from 1 species
GUUGCAGUUAAAAAGCUCGUAGUUGGAUUUCUGGCGGGAGCGAACGGUCUAUCAUUCAUUUGUUAGAACCUGAUCGUCUCCUGCCAUCCAUGAAGAGAGCUUAUCUGGCAUUAAGUUGUCGGAUUAGUAAUCUUCAUCUUUUACUGUGAAAAAAUUAGAGUGUUCAAAGCAGGCUUAUGCCAUUGAAUAUAUUAGCAUGGAAUAAUAAGAUAGGACUAUGGUACUAUUUUGUUGGUUUGUGCACCAUAGUAAUGAUUAAUAGGGACAGUUGGGGGUAUUCGUAUUCCAUUGUCAGAGGUGAAAUUCUUGGAUUUAUGGAAGACGAACUACUGCGAAA